UGAUAAUGCUGAAAGGCUGUGACUUUGGUGUCCCUUUUUUGAAUGCACUGCCUGUUGCACAACAGGCUGUGAAAGCACCAGCUUUAUCAGAUAUGGUUAUAUUGAUUGUCUUAAUCUACAUACAUAAGUGAAGCUGUGUUGAGCAGUAUCCACUGGUACUUCUACAGAGUUGAGUGUAAGUCACCUUUGCAGAGGGAAGUCUGUGUCUGAGUGGAGCUGUCUUUUCAUUCGAGGGGAUACAGGAAGUAAACUUGAUGAACAUACAGCAAUGUACUCUCCUGUUUCAGACGAUGUAUUGCUGGCUAGUGACAGCUCAUACCUCAUCUUUGAGGUGUGCUGCAGCAUCUUCUUACUAGAAAUUGAAUUAAGAAGAGGUCUUGAGUCAUGGUGUCUCAUACAAAUUUAAGUGCACGGUGCCUGGCACAAAGGCCUCUGAGAACAUUGAUGUAACAAAAAUAUGUCCUUGUUUUUAUUAUACUUGCCAAGAGGGCUUACAUAUUCCUAAUGUUUUCCUCUUCUCAGUAUAAAUCUGUCUGCUUUGCAGAUAGGUUUAACUCAUUUUCAUCUGCACACACUGGAUGGUAAUUUUUUACUGGAUUUUUUUUUCCACUGAAGCAUGCAUUUUAAAAGAACUGGAUACUAUCCUGAAGGGCAAGCAGUGUUCUAAGCUGAAAGAUUACACUGGUAGUUAAUGAAUGUAAACAUUGACUGAAAUCCUGAUUCUAAUAUUUAAAGAUUUCAGAUUUAAAAACUUUUGAGAUAUGUUAAGUAGAGGUACUUAGGAGAAAGUGAUAGUAAAUUCUGAAGUUCUUUGAGAGAAUACAAAUACUACUUCUAUUUGCGCUUUAUACUAAUAAUAAGCUAUAAGAAAAAAGAGCUUCAAGCGUGGUACUGAAGUGUCUGUAGGAAGUAGCAGAUAGUAAGAAACCAAAAAAUUCAUUUGUAGGGAUUGUGUCUCUUAUUUUUGGCAACUUCUUUGCUUAACCUGACAACUCUCACAGCUGUCACUUGAAAAUUGUAAACUGGUUCAUCGUGAUGUUAAAUGAAAUAUUAAAGCAGUGGUGAAAAUGCUUGAAUUUGGUGGUGUAAUGUUUGCAUUUCUAGAAACAAGUGUCUUUCCUAGUAACCACAGUGGAAAAUUUCAGUAAAACUGUUUUUUAAAUUGAUAUCUCCGGAGUAGUGCUGUUCAGUGUUGUACAGUGUGUGUCAUCAUUAAAUAUUUAAAACCGUAGGCUUUCAGUCGGUUUCUUGACUUGCUUUCUGUUCAGUGGUUUUGACAUUGCAUAACUGUAAUUGUUCACUUGUUGAAGUAGCUGUGGAAUUAUAAUCUUAGCACAGCUGUUAAUUCAGUCUGUAUGUAAAUUGUUUGAAGAGACUAAAUCUAGAACUAUCAGCAAGUAAUUACGGAAUGAUCAAACUGACAGGAUACAGGUAGGGAGAUGAAUCUAGGGAGUCUCUGCUUUAAAUUUGUAUCACAACAGAAAUCACUGGACUUUGACAUCAACAGAGAAAAGAAACUGUAUAUCCCAUACUCCAGGCAACAUUCUCCUGCAUAGGAAUUAAUUCCCUUACACCAGUAAUAUUUUAUGGUGUCCUCAUUUUUCUUUAGUGGUGCUGACUUACAAGAAGCAAAGAUGGCUAGUAAUAUUAUGCAAAAAAAAAAAAAAUCAAAUUAAAUUACACUGAGUUUCUGAAGUUAAUAUUUCUUUGAUUUCUUGCCUGGCCAGAACUUCUGAUGCUUAGCAAGAUGGCUAGAUAUAGUGUUUGGAUAUUGGUGAUGAACCGCUGAUUUUGGUUUAAUGUGUGUUAUUCCUGUGACUAAUUGCCCAGAUUCGAGUAUAUGUCAGUUAGGAUACAUGAGUAGUCACUGGGGUACUUUCCAUGAAGGGUAACCUGUGAUUGGUGUUAUAUCUUAGGUGUAAAAAAUAUCUUACUACACUGGGGAGCCCAGAGCUGGAGGCAGUCCCAUGCAAGUGUCUCACCAGUGCUGAGUAGACAGGAAGAAUGACCUCCCUUGACCUGCUGGUGAUGCUUUUGCUAAUUUAGCCUAGGUGGCUCUUGGCCAUCUGUGUCACAAGGGUACAUUUCGCUGGCUUAUGAUCAGCUUGAUGCCUACAAGAACUCCAGGGUUCUCUGACAACCUGCUUUUCAGCCAGUCAGCUCCCAGAACGUAGUGGUACAUGGGAUUAUUCUCUCCAGGGGGAGGACUGAUUUUCUUGAAUUUCUUUGAGAAUUUGAAAUUUUCUCCAGAGGACCAGACAAAAUGCAUAUGGGAAGAAAAACAUCUGACGGCUUAAAAAGGAUUGGAUAGGACACUGUUCAGUGUAUCUCAAUUCCAAAGAUAAUUUAAAACUAUAAAACAGUUCAUUGUGUUCAGUUAUAAAUGG